UACGGAAGGGGCAAGCGUUGUUCGGAAUCAUUGGGCGUAAAGGGCGCGUAGGUGGUUCUGUAUGUCUACCGUGAAAGCAUACAGCUCAACUGUAUUUUGUCGGUAGAAACUGCAGGACUUGAGGCUGGGAGGGGCUGGUGGAAUUCCCUGUGUAGCGGUGAAAUGCGUAGAGAUGGGGGAGAACACUCGUGGCGAAGGCGGCCAUCUGGGAGGGCACUGACGCUGAGACGCGAAAGCGUGGGGAGCAAACAGG
rnacentral:rRNA from 1 species